rnacentral:rRNA from 1 species
CUAUGUACGGACGGGAUAACCGCUGAAAGCAUCUAAGCGGGAAGCCCCCCUCAAGAUGAGAUCUCUCGGACCCUCGAGGUCCCUAAAGGUCCGUCGAAGACUACGACGUUGAUAGGCUGGGUGUGGAAGCGCAGUAAUGUGUGAAGCUAACCAGUACUAAUUGACCGUGUGGCUUGACCAUAUAACACCCAAGCGGUU